rnacentral:rRNA from 1 species
AGUGGCGGACGGGUGAGUAACGCGUGGGCAACCUACCCCACACAGGGGGACAACAGUUGGAAACGACUGCUAAUACCGCAUAGGCGCACAGCUUCGCAUGAAGCAGUGUGGAAAACCGAGGUGGUGUGGGAUGGGCCCGCGUCUGAUUAGCUAGUUGGCGGGGUAACGGCCCACCAAGGCGACGAUCAGUAGCCGGCCUGAGAGGGUGGACGGCCACAUUGGGACUGAGACACGGCCCAAACUCCUACGGAAGGCAGCAG